UAACAGCACUAAGCAGGCAAUGCUGCCACCAUCCCCUUUCCAGACCAGAACCCCAAGACUCAAGAGUGGUGGAAUAAUCAGCUCAGACUCCCAGCUGACAUGUGGUGGCACGUGCUCUGGGGUUCCCGGGGUGCUGUAGGGAGCCGGCGCGCAGCUCUCUCGUCCAGGACACACGAGCAGGAGUGACCUGCGUCCAGAAGGUCCAUCACUAGCCCUGGCCAUGUGCUGAGCACCCAGGCGAUGCCACGUGGAAUCCAGGUGAGACAGUCAGCACCACCUCCAUCUGAUGUGUUAGUCUGAAGGCAGCGUUACGUGUUGCAUCUAUUAGACACCAACCCCACACAGAAAACACUGGAAAUCUGGAUACAGUGACAGACACAUACGGAGGGAAGAAGAUGUGAAGACAGAGAGAAGACCGUCAUCAACAAGCCAUGGAAUGCCAGAGGCCACCAGCAGCUGAGAGAAAGGCCUGCACAGACGCUCCCCACAGCCCUCAGAAGCAGCCAGCCCUGCUGACACCUUGAUCUCAGGCACCAGGAACGGUGAGACAAUACGUUUUUCUUACCCUAAGCCACCCCAUCUGUGGCCCUGUGUUAUGGCAGCCCUAGGAAACGAACACAAUUCCCUAGGCCGUACCCACCCGCUGCCUUGCUUUACACGGCUUUAGAUAUUUGCCACACCCAUGUUUCUUCUGCUUUAUCUAUGAUCAACCUAAAAGUUUUUAAAGCUUCCUCUGGACAUUUAAAGAGAGGUCCUGAGAUCCACUGGGCCUCGGUCACCUGUCCUGUAUGCCUGUCAUCCUGAGGCACUGCACGAGCACCGCACAAUGACAGUCCAAACAGAGACCAGAGCUGGGCAGGCCAAGUCAGCCCAGACCUGCCAGUAAGAAGCUGAGAGUUCCAGAGGCUGGGAAGGGUAGGGAGAAGGUAGGGGCUGGAGAGAUUUGCUAAAGGAUACAAAAUUACAGCCAGGUAGGAAGAGUAAGUUCCAGCACUAUGGUCACCUAGACCACUGUAGGGUGACUGCAGUUAACAAUAAUACACUACACAGUUUCAAACAACAUCCAUAUAUUGGAUGUUCCCAGCACAAAGAAACGAUUAAUGUUUGAUGGAGGCUAACCACCCUGAGCUCAUCACUCUACAUGACACAUGUCGAAACUUCACUAUGUACCCCAUGAAUAUGUACAAUUACUGUCAAUUCAACUAUAUAUGUGUGUGUGUGUGUGUGUGUGUGUGUGUGUGUGUGUGUGUGUGUGUGUGUGUAUUUUAAAAGCUGGAGGGCUAGCUGCCCCCAAAUAUGGUUCAGGAAGCCAGGAAAAAGAGCCCCAUCUUAUGCGCCUACAUACAAAAGGGAAGAAGCUUGUCGGCCGAGUUACCAUCCAAAACCCUUUUGGCUUGGUAGUGUUUGGGGAGGAUGAAAGAAUAAAGCCGCAGAUCUUUUCAUUACUCCUGCAUCUCCUCCUCUCUCUUCUUCAACGCUCGUGCCAACCCCCCAUUCCCACUUUACACCGAGGAAAAGUGGAUUGAGAGGUGGAGGGAUCUGCCUGGGGCCAUGUGGCUGGCAGGUGGCAGAGUAGGGACUUGGGUCCUUGCUCCCCUGCUGCCAAUGCCCGGAGGGUUUCAAAAGCAGCUCAGGUCUGUGGUGCGAGAGGGAAGGCGGCCGCACUGAGUGCUGUCAGAGCAAACGGGCGUCCAUUCUGCUGCUCUCCUGUCAGUGUGGACUCUGUCUCUCUAACUGCGCCAAGGGUUUCCAGUCACUGUGCUCUCAAGAGUGACAGUCAUUAAAUCAGCAUAGCCAGCAUCUCCACAUGCUCCAGCCUUCGAGUUUCUUUUGACUCCCUCCAGCAGCUCAGCUGGAAUGUGCAUCGUGUGUGAGUCUGCCCCUCUCUCUCCUUGAGACUGGAAGGAGCUCCGAGGGCAAAGUGGGUCCCUCCUUUCCUUGGGCACAAUCGGUCCUCAGAUCUGUGCAAGGGACGGAAGACACUUGGGAAACCUGGCGGAUCCGGAACCACAGUGUGCACUUACCCAGCGGCAGCCGCUUAAAGAAAGAUCCCAGACACCAGCCUUAGGAGAGAAACUCUAAGUGAUUUUAGUUAGAGACCUGUCGGAAACGCUGCUGCUGGAAGUCUCCAUCUUUCCAUUCUCCCUAUGGUGGCCCAAAAAGCCAGGUGGCUGGUUUGGCUAGAAUGAGGCGUAAAGUCAGAGCAAACAGGUUCUGAGUGAGUCUGGGGCCAACCCCUGCAACUUUCCCAUAUCCAAUUCCAGCAUUCAGAGACCCUCUUUGCUUGGCAAUGUGUGCAGGCUUUCCAGACCCGUUGCCUCUAGAGAGGCGGGACUCACGGAAAUGCUGGCCAGCAGCGCGGAGCCCGUCCAGGUUGCCCAGAUCCUCAGGUCACGUUUCUGAAUAGCUCAACUCUAUGUAAAUAAGGUACCAGUUUUCUUUAACCAGAACUGUCUACAUGUGUUUUCCAUUAUUAGCUUUAGUUUUUUAAGAAAAACUGAUGUUUGAGAAACAGGUCAUGGCUGAGAACAUGACCGGUAAAGCAUCUCACCUGCCCCCACGUUAGCAACUGUUGCCAGGGAAGUAGUUGUGAGAGCACAGCCAGCAGUGGAUGCCCACCUGCGGCCAUGACCCCCAGAACUUAAUUCAGAUGGGGCAGGAAUCCAUGUGCAUGCUAAGCACUGUUUACAGGCAAAACAGAUGUGUCCCACAUUAGAGUUUUCAAAUGAAUGGAGAUGUUGCUGAGAUUAAUAAAAUUGAAAAGAAUUUAAAAUUC
rnacentral:lncRNA from 1 species